AUUUAUUCACCCUUCCAUCCACCCACCCAUCCAUCUGUUCAUCUAUCUACCUAUUAUCUAUCUACCUACCUACCUAUACCUGGCACCAAGUAUCUUGGGAAGAUACUACUACAAGAAGAUGGGAAUGGAAAUCUGAAGGUGCUAAUUCAAGUCUGCCAUGGGAAGAAUCAAACUCAGUGUUAAAAUAUCCCCUGAGACUCCAUGGUCUGAUGGAGUGAAUGUAUUCACGCCAACUGCUGUUACAGCUUCUCAACCUAAUACAUGGGGUUGCAUAUGUGACAUGAUGCUGGCUCUUUUAAAGCUCUCCCCUCCCGAUCUCCUCUCUUUUGAGAUAACACAACAUGAGUAGAAUCAUCAGGAUGGCAACGACGAUUUCAAGCGCUUUCCAUGACAGCAGACGAGUGUGAAACUCUGUUGUUUAAAUUACAUUAACAGGGUAAUUUGGGGUUGUGAAUGACGGGAAAGUCAGGUCCUACGGGUGCACAGAGCGAUGUCAAACAUAUGCCUGCAUAGAAGCACAGAAGAGACGUGCUGGCUGGCUAUGCAAGUGGCCCCAUUCCCAGCACGGCUUCCACGCUGAAUAAUGAAAGAAUUUGUGAGGUCUACAAGCAUACCCUGAGUGCUGUCCUUAACCAUGAAUGCCCUGUUAUUUUUUUUUUUUUAAUUUCUUCUCCUUCUUCUCCUUCUCCUCCUUCUCCUUCUUCUUCUUCUUUAAAUCCCUGAGUUGGUAUUCUCUGUGCAGGAGCUGCUGAUUAUAAAGAGUCUCCCCAUACUCAUGAGGCUCCGCGGAGCUCAGUAGGGGUUUUGCUGCCGGUCAGAACGAAACAUUAGCAGACGUGGAGGGCAACGCUACCAACGCUACUUCAUUGGUGCAUUUUGCACAGCAUCAGGGGCUGUUUGGGAACAAUGGCAUCACCAGCCUGUGUGGCUGUCACUUUAUUGAAGUGCCAAGGGGGAGGAAUCAGCUACAGCGCUGACAUUCACGUCCAACACCGCGCGUGGAGAAAAGCACAGUCGCAGAGCGUCAUCUGCUUGUACGUGGAGAAGAUUGCUGAUGGAGAACCUUUCUUACCAAGAGUGCUUUCCGUGCUCUCCAGCAGCCUGCAGCGUCCACGACUCCCAAAAUGCGGGCUGCUGUUUUGUGUGAAGUUUGUGGUCACUGACUAAAGCAGCCUUGGGGAACUUACACUGCCAAUCAGAGGGACAGAACAAACAAGUGGAAGCUUCUAGUGCAAUUGGAAAUGGAGGACACAUGCCAUUUUAGAGGUAAGUACAUAUGAACUGGUACCUUCCUAGUACUGGUUUGGAAAAUGGAUUAGCCUUAAAUUUUAGGGAUGCAACCAUAUUUUAAAAAGAUUUUAUUCAUUUAUUUGACACAGAGAAAGAGGGAGAGACAGAGAAAGAGAGCACAAGCAGUGGGAGCAGCAGAGGGAGAGCGAGAAGCAGUCUCCCCGCUGAGCAAGGAGCCUGAUGUGGGACUCGAUGCCAGGACCCUGGAAUCAUGACCUGAGCCCAAGGCAGUCGCUGAACUGACUGAGCCACCGAGGUGCCCUGGGAUGCAAUUAAUUGUUGCUUCAACUCUAGAAGGGAUAUGAACCAAUUUUUGCCCAUCAAUAAAGUGCAGGCAGUUGUUUACUCGUCA
rnacentral:lncRNA from 1 species